rnacentral:lncRNA from 1 species
AUGUGCGCCUUCUGCUACUUGAUGUUUGCAGGAGGUCAGGUCAGCCUUCAGUGCCUCCGAGCAGCCCAGUGGAAGGACACACUGGGACUCUGGCAUCGGACACACCUGGUUCAAAUCCAGGCGACACUACUCAUUAACUGUAUGACCUGGAACAGCCAUCCUACUCUCUCUAACACAUGUAAACAAACAACUCCAAGCCAGGCGUGCUCUGUAAACUGGGAACCAUCAGCCCUAGGUGACACAUGGUUGAGUGUGUUGAUUAGACAGGAGACCCAGUGUUCAGAGCCUGGCAAGCCACUGGGAGGCCUGGUUGUGGUACACUGGGAAACAGACAUACCUGGUUUUUGUCUCCCAGUUUCAAGCACACAGCACCUAAAACCCCUGGAAUCUUCAGAGUCUUUUGUAUGCUAAUAGAUGACUAGUGGCCCCUAGAUAGUUUUGAGCUGGUCACUAGGAAGAUCAAGAUCAAGGUUAGAGAAUUGGAAUUUCAGCUCCAGGGUUGUGGUGGGGGGACAGGGGCUGGAGAUUGAGUUCAACCAUCAAGAGCUAAUGAUUUGUUUUUAUUUUUAUUUCUACUUAUUUAUUUGGCUGCACCCAGGUCUUAGUUGUGGCACACAGGAUCUUUAGUCUAGUUCCUGUGGGGAUCUAGUUCCCUGACCAGGGGUCAAACCCAGGGUUCCAGCUUUGGGAGCUUGGAGUCUUAGCCGCUGGAGCACCAGCAAGUCCCCAGGGUUAUACCAUUUAAUCAAUCGCGCUUAUGAAAUGAAACCUCCAUAAAGAUCGCUAAAUGAAGGAGUUCAGAGAGCUUCUGGGUUGGGGUACUGGGUGGAGUGGUGCACCAGGCGGGGGCAUAGAAGCUCCGCGUACCCCCUGCCCCUUAUACUUUGCCCUAUGCAUCUCUUCCAUUCACGUCUCCAGAGUUCUCUCCUUUAUGAGAAACCGCAAAAUAUAAGUAAAGAGCUUUCCUGAGUCCUGUGAGCCUUUCUAACAAAUGAUGGAACCUCAGUCAGGGGUCAAGGAUCCCGUUGUUUAUAGCCAGUCGGUCAGUACUUUGGUGUCUGAAGCGGAGGGAGGCUUGCAGGACCAAGCCCUUAACCUGUGGGAUCUGACGCUAACUCCGGGUAGACAGUGUCAGGGCUGAAUUGAAUUGGAGGCCACCCAGCUGGUAUUGGAGGACUGGAGAAGACAUCGCGCAUUUGGUUUCAGCAGUGUUGUGAGUACAAACUGCCCACUGACAAAUGGCAGCCGUCGGCAUUUUUACAGACGACAGACUCUUGGCAUGGCGGCUCUUCUUGGUGAAGCUGCAGCUCCGGGCUCGACCCCCUCCCUCACUCUGCUCUGAUGCCAGUGGCGCAUUCUGCUCCCCUAGCUGUUCACAACUCGCCAAGAGGCUGGGCUGCUUCUGCCCAUGUUGCAAGGAGGGCAGCUGAGGCCCAGAGA